rnacentral:rRNA from 1 species
UACAGAGGAUGCAAGCGUUAUCCGGAAUGAUUGGGCGUAAAGCGUCUGUAGGUGGCUUUUUAAGUCCGCCGUCAAAUCCCAGGGCUCAACUCUGGACAGGCGGUGGAAACUACCAAGCUGGAGUACGGUAGGGGCAGAGGGAAUUUCCGGUGGAGCGGUGAAAUGCGUAGAGAUCGGAAAGAACGCCCGUGGCGAAAGCGAGGUCCUGGACGCCUACUGACGCUGAGACGCGAAAGCCAGGGGAGCGAACGGG